CCACCCAGGAAGAGGAGGGGCCAGGCUCCUCCCCACUGUAAACAUUGCAAACUUCCUGAAGCUCCACCCCAGUGCGCAUGCUUCCCAGUGUGCAGGCUGGUGAGAGGUUCUCUGGGGACCCUUUUAUACUUGGCUGUCUCAGUAUGACCUAGUGAUCACAAACUGGGUUAGGAGAUCUCAGCAAGUCCUGUUUGUUCAUAUUCUUCUUGGCAUCCCUGUGUGACAUUCCUUCCCUCUGGAUAUAGGGCAAGACACCUGUCACAUCAGGGUUUUCAGGAGAGACAGGAUGGAGAAGCUCAGACAGUGACCUUUUCAGGCUUUGUGGCCUGCUUCAGGGAAGAAAGCAACACAGAAUCACUGGUUGGACUCAUGACAUCUCAGAAGAAGAAAGAUCCUAAAGGCCAUCUGUCUGGUUUCACUCCUGUCGGCAGUAGGAAGAAAAUCUAAGGCUAGCAUUUCCAGCAAACAAUCCUUUGCAGAGUGAGUGCUGUCCUGUUGCUGUGGAUUCCUUCUACUAAAUGGUGGAAGUGGAAACUGCAGCUUGCCAAGGCUAAGAGGUGCAAAAAAGCUGGCCUCAAAUCGUUUUUGGCAAAUGCACAUAGCCCUUUGUCUCCAGGACAAAGGAGGCUAUACUCUACAGUAACUUAAAUAAGUACAGUGCUUAACCUGAGAAAGACACUUUGGAGACCCACAUAUAUUUUCUUCUGACUUACAAUUAAUAUAAAAUACCUAAUUUUCCAGUGGUCAGCUUUCCAAAUUCCCUGUGUCACCAGGCUUUGUGUUAAAUGCAACACUCUGGCUGCCCAAGGUUGCAGACUCAGAACCACAUGGAAUAGAAACAGCAGGAUAUUGUUCCAAGAUUUACUAUAUAAUGCAAAUUUUCAACUAAAAUCACAGGACGUUUCUCUCCACCCUUCCCCGCAAGUUCAUCUACUCUCGUAGCUCCUUAGAUUUGCAAAGAUUGGAGGGCAGGGAGAUUACCAUUGAAGUAAGCAGAUUUCACAUCCUGGU
rnacentral:lncRNA from 13 species